AACGAACGCUGGCGGCAGGCUUAACACAUGCAAGUCGAGCGCCCCGCAAGGGGAGCGGCAGACGGGUGAGUAACGCGUGGGAACGUACCCUUUGCUACGGAAUAGCUCCGGGAAACUGGAAUUAAUACCGUAUGUGCCCUACGGGGGAAAGAUUUAUCGGCAAAGGAUCGGCCCGCGUUGGAUUAGCUAGUUGGUGGGGUAAUGGCCUACCAAGGCGACGAUCCAUAGCUGGUCUGAGAGGAUGAUCAGCCACAUUGGGACUGAGACACGGCCCAAACCCCUACGGGAGGCAGCAGUGGGGAAUAUUGGACAAUGGGCGCAAGCCUGAUCCAGCCAUGCCGCGUGAGUGAUGAAGGCCUUAGGGUUGUAAAGCUCUUUCACCGGAGAAGAUAAUGACGGUAUCCGGAGAAGAAGCCCUGGCUAACUUCGUGCCAGCCGCCGCCGUAAGAC
rnacentral:rRNA from 1 species